rnacentral:rRNA from 1 species
CCUACGGGAGGCUGCAGUGGGGAAUAUUGCGCAAUGGAGGGAACUCUGACGCAGCGACGCCGCGUGAAGGAAGAAGGCCUUCGGGUUGUAAACUUCUUUGAUCGGGGACGAAAAUGACGGUACCCGAGGAACAAGCCACGGCUAACUACGUGCCAGCAGCCGCGGUAAUACGUAGGUGGCGAGCGUUGUCCGGAAUUACUGGGUGUAAAGGGCGUGUAGGCGGGGCGUCAAGUCAGGUGUGAAAUUCCGAGGCUUAACUUCGGGUGUGCAUCUGAAACUGAUGUUCUUGAGUGUCGGAGAGGAAAGUGGAAUUCCCAGUGUAGCGGUGAAAUGCGUAGAGAUUGGGAGGAACACCAGUGGCGAAGGCGGCUUUCUGGACGAUAACUGACGCUGAGGCGCGAAAGCGUGGGUAGCAAACAGGAUUAGAUACCCGGGUAGUC